GGACACGAGGCGAGGACAAAUUAUGCCGACAGACCAUCUGUGCCACUAGUCCGUUGAAAAACAGAACAAGUGUGACGUGAGUGUGCAAUAAGCUCUGGCCGUCUUGCAUGAAAUUCUUGCAUGAAAUCGAUCAAAAUGAUGCCUGCCACUGAGCUGAAAAAAAAAUGGCCGGUACCAUCUUUCAAUGAGGGCGCUGUUCAAAGCGGACGAUCAUACACACUAUCGAACAAUAUGGGAGUUUUUCCAGAAGGCACACGCGCGAAAUUUCCAAAGGCACUCGUUACAGCCGCUAUAGUUACAAAUAGGCACUCAUUUGUUUUGGAAACCGGGCACUUGUUUAAAAAAAAACGCUGGGGGGGAGGGGG